UGGAACGUAGCUCAGUAGGUAGAGCAAUGGCUUUUAUCCUAAGCGAAGGUUCGAAUCCUUCCGUUCCGA
rnacentral:tRNA from 1 species